rnacentral:rRNA from 1 species
ACUCCUACGGGAGGCAGCAGUGGGGAAUAUUGGACACUGGACGCAAGCCUGAUCCAGCCAUGCCGCGUGAGUGAUGAAGGCCCUAGGGUUGUAAAGCUCUUUCACCGGUGAAGAUAAUGACGGUAACCGGAGAAGAAGCCCCGGCUAACUUCGUGCCAGCAGCCGCGGUAAUACGAAGGGGGCUAGCGUUGUUCGGAUUUACUGGGCGUAAAGCGCACGUAGGCGGACUAUUAAGUCAGGGGUGAAAUCCCGGGGCUCAACCCCGGAACUGCCUUUGAUACUGGUAGUCUUGAGUUCGAGAGAGGUGAGUGGAAUUCCGAGUGUAGAGGUGAAAUUCGUAGAUAUUCGGAGGAACACCAGUGGCGAAGGCGGCUCACUGGCUCGAUACUGACGCUGAGGUGCGAAAGCGUGGGGAGCAAACAGGAUUAGAAACCAGAGUAGUCC